rnacentral:rRNA from 1 species
GUCCUAGCCGUAAACGAUGGGCACUGGGUAGGGGAGGCGCCUAUGGCCUUCUCUGCCGGAGCUAAUGUAUUAAGUGCCCCGCCUGGGGAGUACGCUCGCAAGAGUAAAACUCAAAGGAAUUGACGGGGGCUCACACAAGCGGUGGAGCAUGUGGUUUAAUUCGAAGCAACGCGAAGAACCUUACCUGGCCUUGACAUGCACGGAUUAGCCCUGUGAAAGCAGGGUGACAGCUCUUCGGAGCCGGAACGUGCGCAGGUGUUGCAUGGCUGUCGU